rnacentral:ribozyme from 2 species
CAAUUAAAGCAACCGCACUGGGAGGUGUGAAGGUCCGAAGUCCUUAUAAAUGCUGACGGGUUG